AGUUAUUUCACGGCCUUUAUCUGUUUCUGCACGAUGCCUGUAGCCUGACUUCCUCCUUGACAGGCUGAUUUAGGGGUGCUCCCCAAGAAGAUCAGAACUGCUGAAAGAAUGAAGAAGAACCUCCUUGGCCCAGGAUGUGGAUAGAGAACAGAGCGCACUUUCACUUACCUGGCAAGGUGGUUUUGGAAGUUUCCACGGAAGCCUGCCCCGGGCCGCUGCUGCCCGUCCUCGCCUAGGUGUGGAGCUUCCCAACCGGCUGGGGAGGGAAUGUCCUGCGGGAGCCGCCGAGGACCCUCGUGAGCCUCUUCCCUGGCUUGGCUGCAGCUGCAGUCUGGUACUUGCCCAUUCUGCUCUUCUUCACCUCCGUAUUUUCUCUCUCAUGGAAGAAGAAUUCCAUUCUCCCAUCCCAGGAAGGAGAGUGCCCUGCGUGCCAUGAAAGAGCCCAGGACCCGCAGGACAAGUGCGUCACUGACAGACCUGCCUUCGCCAGCGCCAGCCCAUCUAUGAAACCUCCAGCAUUUGUGCCCCAGACUGGCCCCUCCCAGGCCUGACUCUUUCUGUGAACGGUCACUGCCCAGGAUCAAGCUACAAUGAAGAGGAGGGAGGCAGUCUGCACGCACUGCCAUUUUCUAGGAACUGGAAAGCGCCUCCCGCUCCCCCCGCCCUUAGGAAGAUCCAUCCCUGUGGAACCUUACCCAGGCUUACCAGCCUUUGCUGAGCUUGAUCUAUUUGGACUAGUAUCAGUCAGUAGGACUUGAGACGUUAGUUCUCUACACUUGCACCCUCCUUGUCCCCAUCAAAAUAUCCAGUACUCUACCUCCAGGGAGUAGACUUGACCCUCAAAUAGCAAGUUCAGCCUUCGCAGGUCUAGGUUCCCUGGGGGUUUAAGAUUCGUAUGGUUCCUUAGUAUAGAGGGCUAGCUGUGAGAUGGAAUCCCACUAUGAGCUUUAGAAUCAGUCAAGAAGAACUGGGCCCCUUCCCUUCAUCCCUCCUCUUUUCCCUUUUUGUCCCAGAGCUCAGCUCUGACUCAAAGUUUUUCCAUUUACCAUCAACAUGGAAACUUGGCUCCCCACAUGGGUAUAUUAUCCCCCUUUUGUACAUGGUCUUGUUGAUCAAAACUCCCUUUCUGUGAAAGAGGCCUGUGGAGCUCAAGAAGCCUGGUCAGCCAGCCAGGCUAGUCCCACAUACCUCAGAACCAAUUUAAUAAAGGCUCUAUGUCAUUCUU